AGAAAUUAAAGUGUGUUUGCCGGGCGCGGUGGCUCACGCCUGUAAUCCCAGCACUUUGGGAGGCCGAGGCGGGUGGAUCACGAGGUCAAGAGAUCGAGACCAUCCUGGUCAACAUGGUGAAACCCCGUCUCUACUAAAAAUACAAAAAAUUAGCUGGGCAUGGUGGCGCGUGCCUGUAAUCCCAGCUACUCAGGAGGCUGAGGCAGGAGAAUUGCCUGAACCCAGGAGGCAGAGGUUACAGUGAGCUGAGAUCGCACCACUGCACUCCAGCCUGGGCGACAGAGUGAGACUCUGUCUCAA